UCCUUUUGCAUUUUGGUGUCUGGUCAGGA
rnacentral:piRNA from 1 species